rnacentral:rRNA from 1 species
GAUGAACGCUGGCGGCGUGCUUAACACAUGCAAGUCGAACGGAAAGGCCCUGCUCUUGUGGGGUGCUCGAUUGGCGAACGGGUGAGUAACACGUGAGUAACCUGCCCUUGACUUUGGGAGAACUUCAGGAAACUGGGGCUAAUACCGGAUAGGAUCUCCUGCUGCAUGGUGGGGGAUGGAAAGUUUCGGUGGUUGGGGCUGGACUCGCUGCUUAUCAGCUGGUUGGUGGGGUAGGUGCGUACCAAGGCUUUGACGGGUAGCCGGCCUGAGAGGGUGACCGGCCACAUUGCGCCUGAGAUACGGACCAGACUCCUACGGGAGGCAGCAGUCGGGAAUAUUGCACAAUGGGCCGAAGCCUGAUGCAGCAACGCCGCGUGCGGGAUGACGGCCUUCGGGUUGUAAACCGCUUUCGCCUGUGACGAAGCGUGAGUGACGGUAAUGGGUAAAGAAGCACCGGCUAACUACGUG